AUGGGGCUGCAGGUUGGUGGGAUGUGGCUCUGUGCUCUCCGUGGCCGAGCAAACUUUCCAUGGGAUUGAGUAAGAGCUUCAGGAUGUAUUUUGUGGACACUGGCUGUUAAUGUUAGAUUGGAAAGCCAGCAGCAAAAAUAGCCAAACUCUGAUGUUUCUUCAAUUUUGGGGGAUGCCAAAGAUAGCAGGCUUCUGAGUGGGCAGUGAAUCUCAGUUCAAGCUUUGACGUGCUGAAAAAUAUCAACCAUAACAGCAAGUCUUGGCCUUUUGGAAGACCUGAAACCACGUGGUACAUUGUGGCUGAGGAGCAAGACAUUCUGUAGGGCACUCCUGAAGAUCUUGAAACAGCUGUAGAGAAGUUCCCUCUGAAACUCAACAGGUGACUAACUCCUGAGCACGUCAUGCAAGUCUGUGUCUUGUACCCAUACGGCUCUUACAGCUUCUCACAACUGUCUAUUGACACAGAGCAUACUGGAUUAGCCUGACGUCUUCUGCCAUCACUCUCCCUCUGCCAUCAUUGCUGCUGCAGGCGUGCUUGGUCUUCCCUGAUGUCAGUGUCCAGCAGAGCUGUGCCUGGAAGAGGUACAGGCUUGGCCCCGGACUCCAACCGUCUAGGUGAUUGCUGUGCGGGGCUGGUGGGUUUGGACACUGGUUUCCCUUGCCAGUGUCUGUACCUCACACCUUGCUCUGGAAAACUUCUCAGCUUCUCAUGUCUCUAUCAAAUAAAUGAAAUUGCAUGUGUGAGAGACAGGAAAGUCCUCUUCCUGGUUGACAACAUGAUUGUAUAAUUUCUCUGCAGAAAACAAGAAAAUUGAUA